rnacentral:lncRNA from 1 species
UCCUGGCUAGACCUGCGCGCAGUGCGCACCCCGGCUGACGUGCAAGGGAGCUCGCUGGCCUCUCUGUGCCCUUGUUUGUCCGUGAAAUUCUGGCUGAGUCUCUCCCCCCACCUUCCGACGCUGUCUAGGCAAAGCCUGGAGUAGAGUUGCAUCUCCUGGAUGAUCAGUUCAGAGAUAUGUCACAAUGCCCCCUCCCUGUGGAUCCUAGAGAAGAUUUGCACCAUUUGGGUGAUCAGUGCAGAGAUAUGUCACAAUGUCCCCUGUAGAAAAAGCCUGGAAAUGAUUUACAUCACCUCGGUGAUCAGUGCAGAUGUGUGUCAGAUCUCCCUAGUAGGCUGAACCUAGACAAGGGUUACAUCACUUAGGUGAUCAGUGUAGAGGUAUGUGAAAAUUCCCGUGUAGACAGAGCCUAGACAAUUGUUACAUCACCUAGUGAUCAGUGCAGGGAUAAGUCAUAAAGCCUCCUGUAGGCAGAGUGUAGACAAGUGUUCCCUCCCUGGGCUGAUCAGUGCAGAGAUAUCUCACAAAGCCGCUUUAAGCAGAACCUUGACAAGGGUUACAUCACCUGUUUGAUCAGUGGAAAUAUAUAUCACAAAGCCCCCUGUAAGCAAAGCCCAGACAAUUUUUACAUCUCCUGAGUGAGCAUUGGAGAGAUCUGUCACAAUGCCCCUGUAGGCAGAGCUUGGACAAGUGUUACAUCACCUGGGUGAUCAGUGCAGAGAUAUGUCAAAACGCUCCUGUAGGCUGAACCUAGACAGGAGUUACAUCACCUGGGGGAUCAGUGCAGAGAUAUGUGAGAAUUCCCUUGUAGGCAGAGCCUAGACAAGUGUUACAUCACCUAGGUUAUCAGUGCAGAGAUAUGUGAGAAUUCCCGUGUAGGCAGAGCCUAGACAAGUGUUACAUCACCUAGGUUAUCAGUGUAAGUAUUAGUCAUAAAGCCUCCUGUAGGCAGAGCGUAGACAAGAGUUCCCUCCCCAGGGUGAUCAGUGCAGAGAUGUGUCACAAAGCCCCUGUAGGCAGAGCCUAGACAAGAGUUUCAUCACUUGGUUGAUCAGUUCAGAGAUGUGUCACAAUGUCCAUGUAGGCAGAUCUAAGACAAGGGUCCAUCACCUGGGUGAUCAGUGCAGAGAUAUGUACCAAUGUGCCCUGUAGGCAGUGCCUAGACAAGAGUUGAAUCACCUCAGAGAUCAGUGCAUAGAUAUGUCACAAAGCCUUCUGUAGGCAAAGCCCAUACAAGGUUUACAUCACCUAGGUGAUCAGUGCAGUGAUAUGUCACAAAAAUCCCUGUAGACAGAGCCUAGACAAGAGUUACAUCACCUGGGUGAUCAGUGCAGAUAUUUGACACAAUGCCCCCAUAGACAGAGCCUAGACAAGACUUCCAUCACCUGGGUGAUCAGUGCAGAGAUAUGUCACAAAUCCCCCUCUAGGCAGAGUAUAGAGAAGAGUCCCAUCACCUGGGUGAUCAGUGCAGAGAUAUUUCACAAUGCCCCCUGUAGGCAGAGAGUGGACAAAAGUUACAUAACCUAGAUGAUCUGUGCAGAGCUAUGUCAAAACGCCCCUGUAGGCAGAGCCUAGAUGAGUGUUACAUCACCUGGGUGAUCACUGCAGAGAUACGUCACAAUACCCCCUGUAGGUGGGGCCUAGACAAGAGUUACAUCACCUGGGUGAUCAGUGGAGAUAUCUGUCACAAUUCGCCUUUAGGCGCAGCUUAGACAAGCGUUACAUCACAUGAGUGAUCAGUGCAGAGAUAUGUCACUAUGCCCCCAUAGGCAGAUCCAAGACAAGAGUCCAUCACCUGGGUGAUCAGUGCAGAAAUAUGCCACAAUGCCACCAGUAGACAGAUAUAGACAAGAGUUACAUCACCUGCGUGAUCACUGCAGAGAUAUGUCACAAUGCCCCUGUAGCCAUAUCCUUGACAAAAGUGACAUCACCUGGGUGAUCAGUGCGGAGAUAUGUCACAAUGUCUCCAGUAGGCAGAGCCUAAACAAGAGUUACAUCACCUCUGUGAUCAGUGCAGAGAUACGUCACAAUGCCCCUGUAGGCAGAGCCUAGACAAGAGUUACAUAACCCAGGUGAUCCGUGCAGAGUGAUGUCACAACGCCCUCUGUAGGCAGAGACUAGAAAAGAGUUACAUUACCUGGGUGAUCUGUGCAGAGAUAUGUCACAAUGUACCCUGUAGGCAGAGCACAGAGAAGAGUUGCAUCACCUGGGUGAUCAGUGCAGAGAUAUGUCACAAUGUCCCCUGUAGGCAAAGCCUAGUCAAGAGUUGCAUCACCUGGGUGAUCAGUGCAGAGAUAUUUCACAACGCCCCCUGUAGGCAGAGGGUAGACAAGAGUUACAUCACCUAGGUGAUCAGUGCAGAGAUUUGUCGAAAUUCCCUGUAGGCAGUGCUUAUAAAAGUGUUACAUCACCUAAGUGAUCAGUGCAGAGAUAUGUCACAAAGCUCCUGUAGGCAGAGCUUAGAUGAGUUACAUCACCUGGGUGAUCAGAGCAAAGGUAUGUCACAAAGCCCCCUGUAGGCCAAAGCCUAGACAAUAGUUACAUCACUUGGGUGAUCAGUGGCGAGAUCUCUCACAAUUCCCCUGUAGGCAGAGCUUAUACAACAGUUACAUCACCUGGGUGAUCAGUGCAGAUAUAUGUCACAAUGCCCCCAUAGGCAGAUCCAAGACAAGAGUCCGUCUCCUGGGUGAUCAGUGCAGAAAUACGUCACAAUGCCCCCUUAGGCAGAGCCUAGACAAAAGCCCCAUCACCUGGAUGAUUAGUGCAGAGUUAUGUCACAAAGUCCCUUUAGGCAGAUCCUAGACAAGAGUCCCAUUACUUGGGUGAUCAGUGCAGAGAUAUGUCACAAUGCCACUGUAGGCAGAGCCUAGACAAGAGUUACAUGACCUAGGUGAUCAGUGCAGAGAUACAUCGCAAUGCCCCUGUAGGCAGAGCCUUGACAAGUGGUACAUCACCUGGGUGAUCAUUGCAGGGAUAUGUCACAAAGCACCCUGUAGGCAGAUCCUAGAGAAGAGUUAUAUCACCUGGGUGAUCAGUGCAGAGAUAUGUCACAAGCCCCCUGUAGGCAGAGCCUAGACAAGAGUUAUAUCACCUGGGUGAUCAGUGCAGUCAUAUGUCACAAUGCUGUGUAGCCAGAGCCUAGACAAAAGUUACAGCACCUGGGAGAUCAGUGCAGAGAUAUGUCACAAUGUCCCCAGUAGGCAGAGACCAGGCAAGAGUUGGAUCACCUCGGGAUCAGUGCAGAGAUAUGUCUCAAUCCCCCUGUGGGCACAGCCUAGACAAGAGUUACAUCACCUCGGUUAACAGUGCAGAGAUAUGUCAAAAUGCCCCUGUAGGCAGAGCCUACACAAGUAUUACAUCACUUAGGUGAUCAGUGCAGAGAUAUGUCACAAUACCCCCUGUAAGCAGAGCCUAGACAAGAGUUACAUCACCUGGGUGAUCAGUGCAGACAUAUGUGACAAGGCCCCUUUAAGCAGAGCCUAGACAAUAGUUACAUCACCUGAGUGAUCAGUGCAGAGAUCUGUCACAAUGCCCCUUUAGGCAGAGCUUAGACCAGAGUUACAUCACCUGGGUGAUCAGUGCAGAGGUAUGUCACAUUGCCCCCAUAGGCAAAUCCAAGACAAGAGUCAGUCACCUGGGUGAUCACUGCAGAAAUAUGUGACAAUGCCCCCAGUAGGCAGAACCUAGAGAAGAGUCCCUUCACCUGGGUGAUCAGUGCAGAGUUAUGCCACAAUGCCCCCUGUAGGCAGAGCCUAGACAAGAGUUACAUCAUCUGGUUGAUCAGUAAAGAGAUAUUUCUCAAUGCCCCUGCAGGCAGAGCGUAAGCAAGAGUUACAUCACCUAGAUGAUCAGUGCAGAGAUACGUCACAAGGCCCCCUAUAGGCAGAGCCUGGACAAGAGUUACAUCACCUCGGUGAUCAAUGCAGUGAUAUGUCACUGUGCCCCGUAGGCAGAGCCUAGUCAAGCGUUACAUCACCUGGGUGAUCAGUGCAGAGAUAUGUCAGAAAGCCCCCAUACACAGAGCCUAGACAAGAGUCCCAUCACCUGGGUGAUCAGUGCAGAAAUAUGUCACAAUGCCCCUAUAGGCAGAUCCAACACAAGUGUUACAUCACCUGGGUGAUCAGUGCAGAAAUAUGUCUCAAUGCCCCCAUAGGCAGAUCCAACACAAGAGUUACAUCACCUGGGUGAUCAGUGUAGAGAUAUGUCACAAUGCCCCCGUAGACAGAGCCUAGACAAAAGUCCCAUCACCUGGGUGAUCAGUGCAGAGAUAUGUCACAAAGCCCCUGUAGGCAGAGCCUAGACAAGAGUUACAUCACUUUGUUGAUCAGUUCAGAGAUGUGUCACAAUGCCCAUGUAGGCAGAGCCUAGACAAGUGUUCCAUCACCUGGGUGAUCAGUGCAGAGAUAUGUGACAAGGCCCCUUUAAGCAGAGCCUAGACAAUAGUUACAUCACCUGAGUGAUCAAUGCAGUGAUAUGUCACUAUGCCCCAGUAGGCAGAGCCUAGUCAAGCGUUACAUCACCUGAGUGAUCAGUGCAGAGAUAUGUCACAAAGCCCCCAUACACAGAGCCUAGACAACAGUCCCAUCCCCUGGGUGAUCAGUGCAGAAAUAUGUCACAAUGCCCCCAUAGGCAGAUCCAACACAAGAGUUACAUCACCUGGGUGAUCAGUGUAGAGAUAUGUCACAAUGCCCCCAUAGGCAGAGCGUAGACAAAAGUCCCAUCACCAGGGUGAUCAGUGCAGAGAUAUGUCACAAAGCCCCCAUAGGCAGAGCCUAGACAAGAGUUACAUCACUUGGUUGAUCAGUUCAGAGAUGUGUCACAAUGCCCAUGUAGGCAGAGCCUACACAAGUGUUACAUCACUUAGGUGAUCAGUGCAGAGCUAUGUCACAAUACCCCCGUAAGCAGAGCCUAGACAAGAGUUACAUCACCUGGUUGAUCAGUGCAGAGAUAUCUCACAAUGUCCCUGCAGGCAGAGUGUAGACAAGAGUUACAUCACCUAGAUGAUCAGUGCAGAGAUAUUUCACAAUGCCCCCUGUAGGCAGAGCCUAGACAAGAAUUAUAUUACCUGGAUGAUCAGUACGGUGAUAUGUCACUAUGCCCCCUGUGGGCGGAGCCUAGACAAGAGUUACAUCACCUGGGUGAUAAGGGCAGAGAUAUGUCACAAUGCUCCAGUAGGCAGAGCCUAGACAAGAGUCCUAUCACCUGGGUGAUCAGUGCAGAAAUAUGUCACAAUGCCCCCAGUAGACAGAGCCUAGACAAGAGUUACAUCACCUGGGUGAUCAGUGCAGAAAUAUGUUGCAAUGCCCCCAUAGGCAGAUCCAACACAAGAGUUACAUCACCUGGGUGAUCAGUGCAGAGAUAUGUAACAAUGCCCCCAGUAGGCAGAGCCUAGAGGAGAGUUACAUCAUCUGGGUGAUCUUUGCAGAGAUAUGUCACAAUCCUCCAAGUAAGCAGAGCCUAGACAAAAGUUACAUCAUCUGGGCGAUCAGUGCAGAGACAAGUCACAAAACCCACAUAGGAAAAGACUAGACAAGAGUUACAUCAUCUGGGUCAUCAGUGCAGACAUAUGUCAAAGCUGCCGUAGGCAGAGUGUAGACAAGUAUUACAUCACUUGGGUGAUCAGUGCAGAGAUCUAUCACAGUGCCCCCAUAGGCAGAGCCUAGACAAGAGUUCCAUCACCUGUGUGAUCAGUGUAGAGAUAUGUCACAAUGCCUCCUGUAGGCAGAGGCUAGACAAGAGUUACAUCACCUGGAUUUUGUUUCCUGCAAUAUGUCACAAUGGCGAGGGUGAGGGUUAGGGUUAGGGUGAGGGUCAGGGUGAGGGUCAGGGUGAGGGUCAGGGUGAGGGUGAGGGUCAGGGUGAGGGUGAGGGUUAGGGUUAGGGUGAGCAUUAGGUUUAGGGUUAGGGUUAGGGUUAGGGGUUAGGCUUAGGCUUAGGGUAAGGCUUAGGGUUCAGGUUCAAGUUUGGAUUCGGGUUCGGGUUCAGGUUAAGAGUUAGGGUUAGGGUUACGGGUUAGGGUUAGGGGUUAGGGUUAGGUGUUAGGGCUGGGUUAGGUUUAGGGUUAGGGUUAUGGGUUACGGUUAGGGUUAGGGUUUAGGGUUAGGGUUAGGGUUAGGAUUGGGGUUAGGUUUAGGGUUAGGGUUAGGGUUAGGUUUAGGGUUGGGUUAGGGUUAGGAUUGGG